CGGACUUGCGCGUGCUCAUCAUUUGAAAUAAAUAACGGACACAAAGCAACGGGCGGAACGGUAAUCUGAAGGUAAGUACGUUAUAUUCGACGUUUCACAUGUUUCAUUAGUCGUUUUACUUAUAAUUUAUGUUAAAUGGAACUUUAGAUGUGUAACGUUUUACAUUUUUAUUAUUUUUAAUGAACACUUAAUCACUUUAUACGUUUUUAUGUCGCCCUGUAUAGUGACGAGGUCAUUGACAGCAGCUAAUCUAUGAAGUGAUGAACUCCUCGCCAGAGACGCUCCACAGCCUUGAAUGGGGAAGCUUUGCCAUUUCUUUCGCUGGAAUCUUCAAUUGAAAACAUCAAGAUCAUUAACCUGUGUCAGCCUGGACAGACUUCUGUUUCAGUUCUGACUGCACCACACUAAUCUCUCUGCUUAUGUGGAUCACUGACUACUAUGUUCUCUGAAGCGGAUGCCCUUCCAGCCUCAACCCAUCUCUGGGAAACAUCCACACACACUCAUUCACUACAGACAAUUUUAGCCUACCCAAUUCACCUGUACCGCAUGUCUUUGGACAGUGGGGGAACCCGGAGCACCUGGAGGAAACCCAUGUAAACACAGGGAGAACAUGCACAGAGACGCCAACUGACCCAGCCAAGGCUCGAACCAGCGACAUUCUUGCUGUGAGGUGACAGCACUACCUACUGCGCCACUGCGUCGCAGACUCUGAAGUUGCAGCCAAAAUGUGCGACACAACAGCCACAUCAUUUACAGGGCCGUGAGAGACCACCUGUACGGUCUGGCGGUGGCAGACGCAGAGCUGAAAACACUAAUCUGAUGCUUUUUUGUUGUUGUUGUUGUUGUUGUUGUGUUAAUGUUAACUUGACCAAUGCAUGUUUUGUCAUUACUUUUGUCUGCUGUACUAUUUUGAGAGCAAAU